GAUGAAGAACGCAGCGAAAUGCGAUAAGUAGUGUGAAUUGCAGAAUUCCGUGAAUCAUCGAAUCUUUGAACGCACAUUGCGCCCGCUGGUAUUCCGGCGGGCAUGCCUGUUCGAGCGUCAUUUCAACCCUCAAGCCCCCCGGGUUUGGUGUUGGGGAUCGGCUCUGCCUCACGGCGGUGCCGCCCCCGAAAUACAUUGGCGGUCUCGCUGCAGCCUCCAUUGCGUAGUAGCUAACACCUCGCAACUGGAACGCGGCGCGGCCAUGCCGUAAAACCCCAACUUCUGAAUGUUGACCUCGGAUCAGGUAGGAAUACCCGCUGAACUUAAGCAUAUCAAUAAGCGGAGGA
rnacentral:misc_RNA from 1 species